GGUCUAAAACUUUUUCUUUCUUUUCUUUGCAGCCUGGGGAUGAAGCCCACGCUGCCCACAGGCUGGGUGGGUGCUCUCCCAUCAACCCUGAGCCCAAGUUCUUUGGAAGCAGACAGGGUGGGUAAUUUGGGAAGCACAUUUCGAUUUCAAGAUGGAUUGUAAUCAUGCAUAUGUUUGGAGAGCUUCGUUUUGCAUUUCAACGUGGAUUAAAGAGAAAAGCUGGUUACCACGGAGCGUGCUCCAGUCCUGUGCUGCUGGCUCAGCCCACAGCUAUUUGCUGAAUGCCUACUAUGUGCGCCACGAGGGGAUAGAGGUGCACUGUCACUGGAGCCUGCUGGGCCCCCAGGCUGGCGAGGGACGUCCCUGUGGCUAAAGCAGCCUGCGGCGGGGGGGCCUGGGAGGAAGUGACUCGGCAGCUGCCUGAGCACAGCUCAUGGCCCAUGGGCCGGAAUCUUCUCUCUCCUCCCAGGAAGAGGUUGUGGGAGCGUAGUCAUGAGCCUGGAUUUGAGCCCUGGCCCUGCCACUUCCUCACCAUGUGGACUUUGGCAACUUCCUUACCGUUCUCUGAACUUCAGCUUCUUGGGAAACCAGGGCUACGUGUCACAGCCACUUCCUAGGGAUGUUGUGUGGAGGAAAGGGCACUGCGGGCCUGGUGUUCUGCACGCAGCCGGCACACUGUGCACACCUGUGUGGACACCUGCUGUUGUCACGACUCGACUCUCCCUUCCUGUGAGCUCCUGCUGCGGCCCCUUGCAGGGCUUCCAGAGUUACUGGGCUGCUGGCAGCCCCUCCUGCCACCUGGGGCCUUUGUGGCCGCCUGGCCCCUCGGAGCUGCAGGGCUGGGUUCUCCCACAGGCAGACGUUGAGGGGAAAAUAUUCCUCAUCCCUGUUCGGGGCUUUCCUGCUCCCUGCCCUCUGCCCCUCCUGCCCCCUGGAGGUCUCCUGUCAGCAGGGGCCCAGCCAUCUCUCCAGGGGACCUUCUCAGGUGUCCUCCCGGCCCCUGUCAGUGCUUCUUCUUCCCUCUGUGGUCCCCCUCAGUCAGGCUGAAAAGCACCCCGGGCAGACUGGCCCUUCCUGACCCUGUGCCUGGUGCAGGUGGGAGUUCCUGCCCUGCUGUCCCUGCCAGAGCUGGGGUGUGGAUGGCUGGAGACUGGCAGUGGUCACAGCAGGGUGUGGUGGGAGUGGCCGUGAGGCACCAGGACAAGCCUGAGGUCUCACACCAGGGUGGAGCAGCUGCUUCCACUGCCCACGAGUCCUGGGCCAACUCUGCACGGGGACCGGGAGGGGGACCGUGCCGCGUGCACACAGCUGGUGUUGGCUCUGCUCCCUGGUUUGCUUCUGUACAGGAGCAGUGACGGCUGUGCUUACGGUGCUGACGGGAUUGGUUCAGUUUUGCACACCCCCAGGCAGGAGGGACGAGCCCCCGGCUUGGCUUGCUCCCCGAGGCACGGCUUCUCGCCAUGUACAAGCAGGGCUUGUUUCCCUGCUGGCCUCAGCUGGUGGGGCCAAAGAGGGAGGGACACACGCUGAGGUGUCCUGGAGCUCACGGUGGGGAAGCUGG
rnacentral:lncRNA from 1 species